UCUGCAGCGAAGACAUCUGUCCUCCACCGACUCUUGAACUGACCUGACACUGUGUCUGGAGAGAACAUCGUUCAUCUUCUCCAGAGAACGGUGACGUCCUGGCGCUCUUCUACGGGCGAUGUAGCCUGAGCAGCAACAACAAGAAGCCCUCAUGCCACUAUCCAAUUCCUGCUGUGGCUGGCGCUCACAUUAGCGAUGUCGGUCUCCAGCUCCAGCACUUGCAUCAUCUCCU